GAGAUAGCUCAGUUCGUAGAGUAUGAAGGUCUUAAUCUCAGGGUUGUGGGUUUGAGCCCCACGUUGGACA